GGGAGCACACUCCAAACGUCUGAAGAAGAGGAAGAAGACGGCAAAAAUCAAAAAGGGUGCAGUCGACGUUUUGGAGUCCCAGGUGCUAGCAUGCGGCUAAUAGUAAUGUUGCUAUUACACAUGCUAAACAGGUUACACUGUACAUGUUCAAAAUGCUAAAUUUGAUUACUUAAAUUAUAUGAAUUGAAGGUAAUUUUGGAUUUUUUAUUAUAAUUUUAUUUUUUUUUGAUUGUUUGAUUUGAUUUUGAUUUUUUUGAUUCACUUAGAUAUGAUUUGUUUUUAAUGCAGGUCUGUUAGUUUUUUUAUCAUUUGCUGUAUUUGGGGUAAUGCUUCCUUUUAGUUUAGUUUUAAUUACUUUUGGAAUUAGUUUUAGGUUUUUUUUGUAAUACAUGGCACAUUUUUCAAGUGCAGGAUAAAAAAAGACCAAACAAAAAGGUCACUAUGUGUUGUACAGUAAAGCAAACUACCAUUUUCAAACUAAACUCAACUGUUGGAAUCGGUCCAUUCAAUCAGUCUGUCCCUAUAUGUGUACUCACAGCAAACAAGGUGAACUUGGAUGAGCAGAGUAGAGAAGAUGGUGGUGGUCUUCAUCCUGGGUAGCCUGUUUGACGCAUGGUGCACUCGUCUCUGAUGUCCACGACAACCGCUCUCCCUUGCGCGCAGCAAAGA